GGCGGCUCCGGCGGCACUCACCGUAGAUCAUGGCCAGGCCGGUCUCGUGGAGGAAGCGGACGCGCCGGUGCUUGAAGAGCCAGAUGCUGAACUCUGUUGUUUAUGGAGGAAAGCAUUCAUCCAUGGUUUGAAGUGUCAGUGCUACCGUCAGCUCAAGCCUUGAACUCCCACAUUUGCAUUUCCCAGGCCUUGUACAGGAAAACAAGUUUUCUUAGAAAUAUGAGAUCCUAAAACACCCAUGGAUAAAUGACUACCAUCAUGCUGGACAGCAACUGCUCUGGAGUUUUGAAAGAAGCCUAGAGAUUUGAGGUAUAACUAGAGAGAAAUCAGGAACAUGGAAACACCAGUGCAAGAAGGAAUGACAAUGAGAACCAGGAGGUAAAAUUGUCAGUGCUUUCUCUGCAGUGACUCAGGAAGUCAAAGAGGAGUAAGAAUUUCUGUUAACAUCAGCAGAAGAACAGUGUUCUGAUUCCCUGUCUUUGUGGGUUCUAUUUGGUUGAAGAGGUGCAGCUGUCAUUGCUGACAUCUCAGAGGGCUAGGAGUCCCCACAGCUUGAAAAAGAAGCUAGAAGUGAUCUGCUGCCUCGGGUAUCAACUUCAGCAGCAGGGAAAGGCAGGAUCAGGUCUGCCAGAAGGGAGCUACUGACAUGCAGAUGAGGAGGAACUGGCAACAAAUGUGGCAACAGAAGACACCGAACACUUCUUCUACAUUCAUGGCACCAGGAUAUUUUCUAAUUACAUUCCUGUUGCUUUCUACUAUUUACUCUUUAGUCCUCUGGUGUGUAAAUAGAGAGGGGGACUUCAAAGCAGAUUAUGUUUAGAAGAAAUAAUUUUAAACAGGCAAUGCAAAAAAUUGACCUCAAGCCAGUUUAAUCCAGAAAAUUGAUGUUGUGCUUACCAUAACUCAUUUAAAUUCUAACAUUUUUUGUAAGCCUGAAUAAGAUUAUAAAUGGAUAUUUUUUCAGAGUAUGAUCUAUGGUUAUUUACUCACUGUAUUUAUCUUAAUAGAUAUGUCACUUUCAUAAAUAACAAGAAAAUAUGAUUUAACCAGUUGUUUAAAGGAGAGUUGUUACAGCAGGCACCUCUUUAAUGUGUGUGUGAAUUGAUUUGACAUUUUAUUGUGGGUGUGAAUUUGAAUUAGCUGCUUUCCAGAUGUAAGCCAUUUCUGGCAUGGACUGUGGUUUCAUUUAUGUAUACCACCUAUAACUUAGAGAGAACUCCUGGAAAUUAUCAAUGACAAACAACUGAACAUAAAAGUUUAUUUAUCUAAAACAGCCUUGCCUUAAGUUUCGGUGUCUAUGUCUGUGUUCAACACUCUUUGUUUGCUUCACUAAGAAAAAUUGGAAAUUGAGAUAGGUCUGGUUAGCUGCCACCCAAAAAUGCUUAUCUGAGAUGAAUUGCCACCCCACAUUUUUUAACAUGGCCUCCAAAAAGAUUGCAAACUCAGAGCCCCAUAUAAUAGUAGAGCUAUCAUAUGGCUGAGGAAGUCUACCCAGGACUCUAGUUUGUUCAGCAACAAGGGAUUUCAGCAAGUACUGUGAACUGAAAAAUUUUUUUUAAAAGACACUUUUUGGUCACUUUCCUGUACUGAAGAUGUUCAGCCAUUAAAAGAAGUACAGUAGAGAAGUUUUUUCCUUAUAUUAUUAAAACCAGAGACA